rnacentral:rRNA from 1 species
AAGGGUUUGAUCCUGGCUCAGAUUGAACGCUGGCGGCAGGCCUAACACAUGCAAGUCGAGCGGAUGAAGGGAGCUUGCUCCUGGAUUCAGCGGCGGACGGGUGAGUAAUGCCUAGGAAUCUGCCUGGUAGUGGGGGAUAACGUCCGGAAACGGGCGCUAAUACCGCAUACGUCCUGAGGGAGAAAGUGGGGGAUCUUCGGACCUCACGCUAUCAGAUGAGCCUAGGUCGGAUUAGCUAGUUGGUGGGGUAAAGGCCUACCAAGGCGACGAUCCGUAACUGGUCUGAGAGGAUGAUCAGUCACACUGGAACUGAGACACGGUCCAGACUCCUACGGGAGGCAGCAGUGGGGAAUAUUGGACAAUGGGCGAAGCCUGAUCCAGCCAUGCCGCGUGUGUGAAGA